rnacentral:piRNA from 1 species
UCAGCCAACACUCAAGGGGAAACCUGUAGU